CGGUGAUAGGAAGAGGGCGAUGAUGUGUUUAAUAGACGGCGGUUCCUAGAGGCAUGACGGCGAGGGCGACGGCAUAAGGGAGGCAUGGCGGUGAGGGAGGUUGAAGAAGAUGAACUGUGUGAUACGAGAGAAGAGAAGCGCGUGUUUGUAGAGAAGAGAAGCGUGUGUUUGCUCUCUCUUUUUUUUUUAUUAAAAAAACUGAUGUUUUUGUUUAUUUUUAAUCUGAAUCAUUGAAUCCAUUUUUGCCACAUGUCACUCAUCCAAGACCCUAAAUGGGGUAAAUGGAGCUGGUGGUAAAUGGAGCAUACCUGCGCUCCUUUGCCUAAUACUUAUGUUUGCUUUGAUAACUCAGUUUUGAUGGUUAAUUCUUAUAUUUGCUAAUAAAAUGACCUAUGAGUUUAUAAAAAUAUUAUACUAAAAAAACUCCCUAUACUUUCCGGUAAUCAUCUCAUUCUCUUCUACAAAACCCAUUAUUUAAUUUGAGUCCUCCAUAUCCACUUAUACUUUCCGGUAAAUUCAAUCAUCUUGUUCCUUUUGAAUACUACAUUAAAAACCACAUUAAAGAAUGGUUAGCAGAGACACUCCGUCGGGAUCUGCCUCCACCGUUCCCGGAGUUCAUAGUGCAUCUACUAAUUUUUUCCUUCUGGCUGUACAUCUUUCUUCACAUGAUCGGGACGAGUCAAUUCUUUGCUCUCAUACUUGCAGCAAUAACAACAAUCAGAUGCUAAGAUUAGAUCUCAUUUUUUAUACAAUACAAUUUCUUCUCUUCUUUCUUCUUUUUAGAUCAAUGAAUCCGUUUAUGAAGAACAUAAUAUGAAUUUCAUAAUAUUCAAAAGGAAGAACAUAAUAUGAAAAUAAUUCAUAUUAGAAGAAAUAAAAGAAAAUGUUAGUAACACUAUUCAUUAUAUAAAGAAAGAAUGUCAUCAUAUUUGUAUGUUUAUUGAAGUUGAAGAAGACAAUAAUUUGUUAAAAAUAAAUAAUAAAGAAAAUAAAAUAAUGAAAAAAACUUAACACUGUUAUUAUUGAUCACCAUAUGCAUCCUGUGUCUUUUCAAUUUCCACUCUUUCUAUAGAAAAAAAUUCAUUGGUAGAAGAUGAAAAAAAAAAAAAAGAGGACAUAAACAAAAAAAAUGGAAGUUGUAUAGUAGUACCUUGAUGUCAUAAUUUGUGAAUGAUCUUUGUCGAUCAUUGGCUUCAUCUCAUGUCUUUCAAUUUCGAUGCUUUAGCAAAAAAAAAAUAGUUGUAGAAGAUGAGAGAUGACAGAAAUGAUAGAAAAUUAGAGAAAGCAAUAUUAUAGUUGAAGAUAAGAAGGAGAAAGAAGAGAAAUGAAGAGAAACUUUUUUAGAAAGAGAAGGUAAAGGA
rnacentral:lncRNA from 1 species